AAAGAAGCAUAACCCAGAAUUAAUUUAGGGGUAUCAGAAGUGCAGCAGGGGCGUCCCUUUCACCAAUGAAUGGAAGAAAAACUUCUGGUAAUGCUGCUAGUCUUUCCUUAUGAACCACCUCCCUGCCUUCAGUCCAGUACACCCCUCGCCUUCUGUCUGACACGA